rnacentral:ncRNA from 1 species
UAGUAAAAUAUUUGUUUUCUGUAUUAACUUUUUUGGUGAAAAAAUCAGUCUUAAAUUACAUUAAGUACGAAAAAACUUGGCUCUGAUUUAUUAGUAUGGCAGAAACUAAGGAAUACACAUGGUUUUUUUAGAAAGAGACGAGGUAGUAAAAGAAAUAGCUUGAAAUAUAAAAUUUAAAGCAUAUUCUGUUAUUAGGGUAUUAUAGUUAUAAAGAAUGCCUUGAAAAGUCCCGUUAGCACCAGUGUUGAAGUUUAAUUUAAGGGUGAAAGCCUGUAUUAAUUUAGUAAAUAAAAUUUGGUUAACUUGGUGCCAGCAUCCGCGGUUAUACCAAGAAAUUAAGUCAUAUUUUUUGGUAAAAAGACAGUUAGGCCUUAAAAUCUUAAGGUUAUUUAAUUUUUUAUGAAGAAGUAAAAUUUGAACAUAGAUUUUUAAUUCUAUAAUAACUUAUAAGCCGAAUCUGUGAAAACCUUGAGGGAAACUGGGAUUAGAUACCCCAUUAUUCUUGGAUUAAAAUGAAAAUAUAUUUUACCGGAGUACUAUGAAUAGACAAAUUUAAAACUCAAAGGGCUUGGCGGUGUUUUAGACCACUCAGGGGAACCUGUCUCAUAAUCGAUAGUCCACGUUAAACCUAACCUUUUUUUGCUAUUUACAGCUUGUAUACCGUUGUCGUCAGGUAACUUUUUAGAAACUAAAAGUUAGCUAAAAGUAUGAUAUGCUGAAACGUCAAAUCAAGGUGCAGCUCAUAAAGAGGAGAGGAUGGGUUACAAUUAUUAAAUCAUAAUACGAAAAACUUUUAGAAUUAAUAGUAUUGAAGGAGGACUUGAAAGUAAACUGAAUUAUAUAAAUAUCUUGAAUAAGGCUCUGAAACGUGCACACAUCGCCCGUCGCUCUUGUUGAAAAAUAAGAUAAGUCGUAACAUAGUAGGGGUAAUGGAAAUUGUCCCUAAAUU